rnacentral:lncRNA from 1 species
ACAGCAUUACCAACUUCAAGAUGAAUGCUUGUUAAUCAGUUUAGAACCUUAAUGCAUAUGUUACUAUAGAUAUGAUGCCUGGACCUUGCUUACGACACCAUCCAGCAUGCUGCACCCUGACCAAGGACAUCAAGCAGAUGCCCACCAUCCCCAUUAACCUCUAGAUGAGAAUUGAAUAUCCAACAGAUUAUAACGCAUUUCAUCAAAUAGUAGCAAAACAUCAAGCAGAACAAAAAAAAACUAUGAAGGCAAAUCAAACAUGCGCUCUAGCCAUAGGUCCAUCAGAUCGGCCCAUCAUCCAGAGCUCCACCACUCCCACAACCAAUCCACCAGUAUGAGCUCAAGGGCGAGGUAAUCAUGGUGCUCACCAUGUAGAUGAUGCUCAGGUUGGCCCUAUAUGGCAAGCGUUAGGGCCUAUACUCAUAAAUGAUUGAACCAGAUGCAUGGAGGAGAUGAAGAUGGCUUACCGUGAGGUAGAUAGGGAGGGGGUUAGAGCAUGCAUGGAGACGACAAAGGGGCACCUGGAGGCAGCGGAUGAGGGGAUAGGUGCGGCGACACUGUCGAUACCAGUGACAGAGAUAGGGACGCCGAGAAUGUCACCGCCUUAG